GAACGAGAAAGUGGGAGCAAUCCCAUGAGUAAAGUGGCGUACGGGUGAGUAACACGUGACUAACCUACCCUCGAGUGGGGAAUAACCUCGGGAAACCGGGGCUAACACCGCAUAACAUCUACGGAUCAAAUGCGCAAGCAGCUUGAGGAGGGGGUCGCGGCCGAUUAGCUAGUUGGCGGGGUAACGGCCCACCAAGGCAAUGAUCGGUAGCCGGCCUGAGAGGGUGCACGGCCACACUGGAACUGAAACACGGUGCAGACUCCUACGGGAGGCAGCAGUGGGGAAUUUUGCGCAAUGGGGGAAACCCUGACGCAGCAACGCCGCGUGGAGGAUGAAGCCUUUUGGGGCGUAAACUCCUUUCGAUCGGGACGAUAAUGACGGUACCGGAUGAAGAAGCACCGGCUAACUCUGUG
rnacentral:rRNA from 1 species